rnacentral:lncRNA from 1 species
GAUGGGAAAAAGCUGUGCCCGCCGGGAAAAGCAAGUAGCUCUGAGAAGAUUCACGAGAGAUCUGGACCCAAAAGGGGGAAACAUGCCUGGACCCACAGACUGCGUGAGAGAAAGCAGCUGGUGAUUUAUGAAGAGAUCAGCGACCCUGAGGAAGAUGACAAGUAACUCCAUAAGUGAACCUUCGGCUCACCCUCCACAUCCCUGCAGAUGUGCUAUUCUGUUAUGCCUCAGGGAUACGACACAUGCCCAUGAUGAGAAGCAGAACGUGGUGACCUUUCACGAACGUGGGCAUGGCUGCGGACCCCUCGUCAUCAGGUGUAUAGCAAGUGAAAGCAA